UUGCAGUGGCACAGGGGGUGACAGCAUGGCGGGGAGGUGACAGCAGUGGUGACACAGAGGUGACAGCAGUGACACAGAGUCCCCGCGGGGCAGGGCACAGACUGAGGUUCGAGGUGGACGCCUCCUCUCCGGGCGCGGGCGGCUGCUGCGGGGACGGCUCCAGCUACGAGAUCCUGAGCCGCAGCACGCGCUUCGGGGACCCCCACCCCGGGGGCAGCCCCUGCGCCGGCUGCUGCCGCUGAGCCCCCCGGGACCCCCACCCACCUCGGCCUUUGGGGGGCUUUUGUUGGUUUUUCUUAUUUUUAAAUUUUAUUUUGGAUUUUUUUUGUUGGUUUUUUUUUUCCAGCCGUUUUGUUUGUACGGGAUAAAUAAAUAAGGAGCGAGCUUUAAUUGCGGCUGGCGUGCUGGGGGCGGGGCUAUGCUAAUGAGCAGUGUGGUUUAUACGCUAUUAUAAAAUAUGUUAAUGAGGGGGGCGUGGUAACAGCAUAGGGGCGGGUUCUAGCGACGCCAAAGCCGCGCGCCGGAAGUGACGUCACACAGCGCGCCGCCGCCAUGAUGCCGCCCGCCGCCCUCAUCGCCCGCUCCCUCCUGCGCUCCGCCGCCCGCCCUGGCCCGGCCCCGCGGGGGCUCCGCUCGGGGCCCGCGCAGAGCCCCGUGAGCGCCGCGGAGUCCGCCCUGGGCCUGGCCGCCGUGUUCGCCUCGUUCUUCGUGCCCGCGGCCUGGGUGCUCGGCCGCAUCCACGACUACCGGAAACGCGAGGGGGAGGAGGAGUGACCGCGCCGGCACCGCCGGAACCGGGACCGGGAACGGGAACGGGACCAGCACCGGGAACGGGACCAGCACCGGGACCAGCACCGGGACCAGCACCGCGACCAGCGGAGCCGCCCCCGCCAUGGGACCCCCCCGAGCCCCCGCCCCAAUAAAGCCGCGGAUCUCCCUGA